UACAGAGGGGGCGAGCGUUGUUCGGAAUUACUGGGCGUAAAGGGCGCGUAGGCGGCCUUCUGAGUCGAACGUGAAAUCCCCGGGCUCAACCCGGGAACUGCGUCCGAUACUGGGAGGCUUGAAUCCGGGAGAGGGAUGUGGAAUUCCAGGUGUAGCGGUGAAAUGCGUAGAUAUCUGGAGGAACACCGGUGGCGAAGGCGGCAUCCUGGACCGGUAUUGACGCUGAGGCGCGAAAGCCAGGGGAGCAAACGGG
rnacentral:rRNA from 1 species